UACGUAGGGUCCGAGCGUUGUCCGGAAUUAUUGGGCGUAAAGGGCUCGUAGGCGGUUCGUCGCGUCGGGAGUGAAAACUCGGAGCUCAACUCCGAGCCUGCUUCCGAUACGGGCAGACUAGAGGUAGGCAGGGGAGAGCGGAACUCCUGGUGUAGCGGUGGAAUGCGCAGAUAUCAGGAAGAACACCAGCGGCGAAGGCGGCGCUCUGGGCCGGAACUGACGCUGAGGAGCGAAAGCGUGGGUAGCAAACAGG
rnacentral:rRNA from 1 species